GAUGCUAUGGUUUUGCCUGCUCAGGCCCUCUUAACCUUUCUGUACUAUGGACCUCUUUGGUAUCUGGUGAGAGCUCUGGGCUGCUGCUCAGAAUUCUCUUUUUAAAUCCACAAAAUAAAAUAUAUAUGGUUAGAAUGGAAGUCAGUCAUAUGCAAAUACAGUUAUCAAAAUAUUCAAUAUCAAAUCUGUGAUAGAAUAAUAUAUGUGCUUCUCUGUCAGUACAUUUAAAUAGCAAGAUACAAUGGAAGAUCUAAUAAUGAGCAUAACUGAAGAAUAGUGAGGAGCGUGAUCAAUAUUUUGUGUUGUCUGUGACCACUCUAAUGUGGUAGGAACAUACCUGUGGUUUCUGCUGGUGACCAAGUCACAGUUACUGUUGACACUACUGAGAAUUGCUUCCUACAUUCACAAUGGAAGGAAAUGUGAAAUUUCCAUCGGAAGUUAGUGAAAAUAAAGACAUAUUUUUACAUCCAGAACCCAUGCUCUGCCACAGGGAUUGACAAACUAUGGUUCAUCACCUAUUUUUGUACAGGCUACCAGCUAAGAAUGGUUUUCAUUUUUUAAAUGGCUGGGGGAAGAAAUGAAAAGAAGAACAAUUAUUUGUGACACAUGAAGAUUAUAUGAUAAUCAGAUUUCCAUGUCUAUAAAUAAAGUUCUCUUGGGGCACAGCCAUGACGGCUUUCACCCUGUAGCAGCAGAGUUGGGUAGUAAUUGAUGACAGAGACUGUACAUGGCCCAGAAGGUCAAAGAUAUUUACUAUCUGGCUCUUUAGAGGGGAAGUAUGCUGACUUCUGCACUAGAGGGUCCAUGAACCUGGGACCAGUGGGUAAAUCGGGUACCCUGAAAUCAUAUGUAAUACAUGUGUGUGCUUAUGGACGUGUAUUUUUUUCUGUGAAAGAGUGAAGACAUUUCAUAGUAUUUGUAAAGGGGUCUGUGGCCCCCAGAAGAUUCAGAACGAUUGGAUCUGGAAGUUCCUGAAAUAAACAAAGCUUCAAUGAAGAAAAGUGAAAAGAGUUAGUCAAUGAUUUACCCUUGUAAUAGUUUCCUAGACCUAGAUUGAACAAGCAAUUACAUGCAGUCCAUGCCACUAAUUCUCUUAAUGUAAGUCAAUUACCUCAGCGCUGUAGUCUAUCAGGGAGAGGGGCUCUCUUUGAAGUCUCUAGCGUUAGGUGGAAAUGACAGAAAGAGUCAAACACAUCUGCAGAAGAGCUUUGCCACAGGGAAAUGAAUUAUGUCUGAGGUCGAAUCUCUGUCCGGCCGGCUGAAUGCUUCAUUUGGGAGAGUCAUUUGGUACAGCCCUUGUUCUGUGGCAGUGCAGAUUGGUGUGGCUUUCUGAAAAAGCUUCUGGCAGCUUCUCCCCAGCUGGCACUGAAAACAACAGGGCAAUGUUUUAUGACAUUUUGCAAGGUAAGCACCGAUGAGGCCAGGGCCGAACUACUUGAGAAGGCAGUCAGGCAUUUGUCCAGAGCCUAUGGGGCGUGACCCAUCCUUCUGAGAGGAGCCGAGGCCAGCAAGCUGACUGUCCAGUGUUCUGACAUCACCGGAAUUUGCCUAGCUUAUUUUGUGGCUCUGGCCCAAGCCCAGGCAAGCCCAAGGCAAGGUUAGUUACUUUUCCUGAUGAUUAUGAGCAAACCAAGCUUCUGUUCAUAUCAAGAAAGAUUGCACUGCCCUCUGAAUGGCCUUUAUUUCUCCUUCGGAAAGUGGCAAACACUUGCUGGCUGUUAAAGGUUAAGAAGGCUUAACUUCAGUUGUAACCUAAUUGUGUUACUGAAUUAGAUACGUUAACUGCUGUAACACAUAGACUUCUAAAUAUAUAAUUGCUCAGAUAUAAGAGAAGUUUAGUUCUCUUAUGAACAGAUCAGAGAGGUGGCUCUUUUCCACAGAGGGUCCUAGGUAUCAACACGUAGCUUCCAAGGUCACCCAAGGGAUCCAUCUUCAGUCCAGCCAGUCAGAAGGGAAAAAAGAGCAUGGAGGCAAAGCACAGGAUGAUUCUUAUGGGUGAUCUUGGAAGUGGCAUAAUCACUUGAGCACACAGCCCAUUGACCAGAACUCAGUCCCAUGCCACACUGAACCACAAGGGAGGUUGGGAAAUUAGUAUAGCUGUGUCCCAAAAGGUUGGAGAACAUGAAUAGUUAGCAAUCUUGGCCACAUCAAUUUUUGGUACUACAGAAUUUUAGGGAACUCAAGGGAUAACACUUACUUGUCUUUGCGGUGCCUUACUCAUUCAACAGUAACUGACUGAGUUCGGACCCAGUGCUGAGUGCUAGGGAUAUAGCAGUGAGAUUGCUCUCUCCCUCAUGGGCUUGUGACAUGGCAGAGAAGCCAACAAAUGUGGAAUCUUAUUGACAUAUAUUUUGAAAGGGAAAAUGCAGGACACUGUUAGGGGUCUGGGUUAAUCAUGAGGGACUGAUGAAGUGAUGUGGCAAAUUGACACCUAAGGGAUGCUGUUGCAGAGGUUGUGUGUGUGGGCUUUUGGAUGCCCUGCAGCAGGGAAGGGUAGGGUAGAGGGAGGAAGAGCAAUAAAUGAAUGAAUGCCUGACCUCCUUCCAGUGAUGGUGUGGCUCCUUGGGUCCUGGUCCCUUUCCUCCAUUCUCACUUCUGUAGACCCUCUCUUCAUAUCCCCCUUUCCCUUCCCUCGGGUGAGUGUAAAGAAUCUCACUUGAUUCCCUGCUCUCUUUUCAGGUACGUUGGAGAUAGUGAGUUGUUCUCUUAAUGCCAUGCUUUUCUUUGGCCAACACUGCUUGGGGAUCAGUCGUGUUGACUGUUUUGCUAGGGGUGGAUUAGGCAGUUUAGGGAGAGUGAUUGUUAAUGAAGGGCAUAUGGAGAUGGAAGACAAAUAAGGAUUAGGGAUCUAAGUCUGCAGCUUUACUUCAGGAGGGAAGAGAGGCCACUAACCAGUACAUUUAAAUGGCAAGGAAGGGAAAUAAAUAACGGAGGAGCCUCCUGUUAGUGGGAGGACAAUAUUUGUCUUCCUGUCUUCUCACCCUUUGCUUUUCUCUCUUUACCGUAUUUAUUCACUUAAAUUUUCUUUUUUGUCCUAGGUUCUGAUUUUUUUUUUUUUUUGCCUUCUUUUUUCUUUCCCACCUUCCUGUGUCUUUUGAUUGGUCACCUGUUCUUUGGUAUGAAUAUCCCUUGAUUAGGGGCUCCCGAUAUGGGAAGCAGUCUCAUUCAGCUUUGCCUCUCUGUGUUUUUCCUAUCUUGAUUUCCCACUGGCAGUAUUCAUGGACCCUAUGUGUGAACUGAACAAAGUUAUUCAACCCAUUGGUAUUUAUUUUCUCAUUUCUCCACUGCUCCCAUCCCAUCUGCCUUUCCAGACCUAUUGCUUCUUCCACUGAGUUGUCCUAAUUCUCGUUUCCUUUUUGCUGCCUUUUCUGCCACCUCCCAACCCAGUCAAAGAAACCUACCUCUUCUCUCACCUCCCAUAGCUCCUUGUCCCUCACUGAUCACUUUACUUGAGCUAUUUAGUUUUGAGAGACUAUGAGCUUGAUGACAUGGUUGCUAUGUCAUUCAUUCUCUUUUCCUCAAUUUCCUACUUCAGUCCUUGGAGCACAUGUUGAGUGAAUGACUAAACCUUGCUUUAUUAGUUAUGUUAAGCCAAUUUGUGGUGGCCUGUUUUUCCUAUCUGCCAAUGAGGGGAUACAUUGUCAAAUAGUGUCUGGCUUGGUUAGUGUCCCUCAGGUCUCAGUUGUAAGAUUAAAAGUUUUCUUUGUAAGAUUGCAAAUCUGUAGAUGGAUUUGAGGAGCCACUGAAGGACCAGGAAGUCCUUUUUGUGGAUUCUCUGGCUGGUGGCAUGCCAGGGUCAGGAAAUGUGGGAAGGCAAGUUGUACACUCUGAGAAAUUCAUUUAAGUUGACCCACAUGUAGUCGAUAACUAGGAAGAUUUUAGAAGGCUUUAUCAGACUAACAAAUUGAGCUAGAAUUCAAAGUGGAGCAUCUGAAUUCAAAAUGAACGCAUAGAGCCCGAAAACCAAAUUUGAACGUAAUACAGCCAUGUUUAGGCUUAUGCUAUGACAACGUGACACCAACAGUGCCACUGUGCCAUGCUGGAAUGGGUACAGAGAUAAUUAGUGCCUGUCAUUGGUGAGUGGUAAAGACCAGGAGGGAACCAUGCCAUGCGAGGAGGGGCCGAAGAAGCUGGUGAUGUUUUAGACCUGGGAAGAACAGGAGAAUUUGAGGCCUCAAAUAGUUCAAAUGCUGUCAAGUUAAAAUGGAACUAGACUUACCAUUAUGUCGGUGGUUGUAAGCUACCGAAUGGAUAUACAGCUCGAAAUAGAAGAAAUAACUUAAUGAACAGAGCUGUCUAAAGAAAUAAUGAGCUGACUUAAUAAUAAGUAGUAAGCUGCCUGAAAGACCACUAGACUGGUGGUUCUAAGUGGUUCUAAAGGAGACUAAUUGUAGCACAUGGCCCCAGUCUCCUCUCAUGUGCCCUGAACUGACCUUGCUCAUAGUUUGUGGCAUUUCUUUUUCUUUGAGUCUUAAAGACCAAAAUUUCUUCUCGGGACAGCACUGAAACCUCCUUCCCAUGCCUGGACUAGGUGAUGUUUAAAGUCUCUUACAACUGUGAAGGACUACAAUUCCAAGAUUUUUAAGUCCCACAUGAUAGCAAACCCGCGCCCCAUAUUUCUUUUUUAAAGUAUCGGUAACAGUUAUGAAUACACACAUGUGCACUCAUGCACACACAACCAUGAUCAUACCAAACAAAAUCAACAAUAAUUCCUUAUCUUCUAAUACCCAGUGCAUUUUCAAUUUUAUUUUGUUCCAGUAGUUUCAAAAGUGUUUUUUUUAUAGUUGGGUUGUUCCCAAGUUGAUUAUUUUAAUCCAUCUAUUUUCUACAACAAAAUGGUUUUGUCAAGCUAUUAAUGUUUAUUAUUUUCUCUAAUAGGAUUUAGCCCAAGAAUAUUGGCAUGUUUUGCUUGUCCUCUCCAAUUCCAACAUAGGAAGGGAUGAUAUGUGAAUAUAAUAGAAUAAACCGCGAGGUGAACGUUAAGCUUACGUUGGUAGGGGACUUACAGUGAAAAAAGGGGAGACAAGCAUUAAAGCUUUUGUUUUUAACUAUAAGCGUUAAGUUGGUUGUUGUACCAACAACGUAUGAUGAAUUUUCUAAAAAGAAAUAAGACGAAUUACCAAUAGUAAGCUUGUAAUAUGCACUCAGUGUCCAUUUGUGUGGGGGUGUUGCACUAUUUAUUUUUUAAGAGAGAGAGUACACAAGUGAGUGCAAGCUGGGGUGGGGGUGCAGAGGGAGAGAGAGAGAGAAUCUUAAGCCGGGCUCCAUCCCACGACCCUGGGAUCAUGACAGAGUCAGAUGCUCAACCCACUGAGACACCCAGGCUCCCUGCAAUGUUUCUUUCUGUUAAAAUGAUCACUGCAAGUCUAGUUAACAUCCAUCACCUCACAUAGUUACAAAGUUUUUUUUUCUUGUCAUAAGAAUUUUUAAGAUCUGUUGUCUUAGCAACUUUCAAAUAUGCAAUACGGUAUUAUUAACUAUAGUUACAUCCCCAUGACUUAUUUGUUUUAUAACUGGAAGUUUGCACUAUUUCUUUUAAAAAUAGAACAUAUGUUUUGAAUCCACCUGGAAGGGUGCAAUAUGGCUCUACCUAAAGAGCCUUGAGUCAGGGGUACCUGGGUGGCUCAGUUGGUUAAGUGUCCGACUUCGGCUCAGGUCGUGAUUUCACGGUCUGUAAGUUUGAGCCCCGUGUCACGCUCUGUGCUGACAGCUCAGAGCCUGCAGCCUGCUUCCGAUUCUGUGUCUCCCUCUCUCUCUGCUACUCUCCCAGUCAUGCUCUGUCUCUGUCUCUCAAAAAAUAAACAUUAAAAAAAGUGUAAACAGCCUUGAGUGAUAAAUUUAAUACCUUAAGUUUUUCUCAGCUUGAUUCUAUCAUGUCAGAUUCCCUAGAACAUUAGGAAUACAGACUAUAUAGCCCAGCCUUUUAAGCUUCUAGAUUUUUGUGUGUUUUCCGUCACUUACAUAUAUGUUGCUUGACUUUUUUCUUUUUUUUUUUUAAUGAAGAAUUGAUAUGGGGAUAAAAACCUGAGAUGUUUUGUUGGCUUAGAGAUCUGAGCACUUCCUAAAUUAGACCUAAAUCAGAAACUGCUGGGAACAAGGAGGCUGGGAUGGCAAACUCCAGUCUCAUAACUAAUAGAAGCAUGCUGACCCACUCAGCUCUGAGUGUUGGUAUGCAGGAACGUGGGCCCAGUGUGGCCCAGACUUCCUACGUUUUUAAGAGAAAAUACAGGAAAUCUCUAAAUUGUUAAAUAUUGGUUCCAAAAAGCGAUCCAACAUUGUUGAGGCCAAAGAAAACAUGUCUGUGGGCCAAAUCUGGCCUGCAGGCCACCGUUUUACUAACCGUGGAUGAGAUCAGCAAAUAUUCAGCAGUAAAGGUUUCUCUGGCCACCUGUAUCUGGAAAUCUAAAGUGUGAAGCCAGUGGCUCAGUGUUCUGGAGAGAGCGGUGGCCUGUGUUCUUCAAACAUUGACAGCACUUCUGGCUCAUUAGCCUGUAGGGAGGCUGGUGGUCCCUUCAUAGCUCUGGGAGGGGUGCUUUUUGUGCUGAGGGUGGGUGCCUGUCUCUCAGCAUGUGCCUGGCAAUACUGUCCCAUCUCCUGCUCCUUGUUGGACCAGUGCCCAGGAUGUGGGGCUGUGGUUUGGAAGCCGCGACCUGUGUCUUGUAGAGAAUGAUUCAUGACCUCCAGACGGCACUGGGCAGGCUGCAGUGAUGUGGCUUCUUGGCCAUUUAAAAUGUGUGAAGGCAGGUCUGAUUAGCAUCAUUCCUAACGAUCCUCUAGGGGAUGCCCAGCAGCUCGUGGCCCCAUUUCUCCAGCACUGACCUUGGAGGUAGAAGAGCCGUCCGCUGUGAGUGAGAAAUCUUACAAGGGUAUAUACACUGUGCACCCUCCAAAUAAUAGAGAUCGUUGUUUGGAACUAUAGAAACACUCCAAAUGUAAUGGCAUUAGUAUUACUUUGCAAUUGCUAGGCAUUUUUAUAGCACAAAGAAAAAUCUUUCAAUUAAAAGAUGUAUAUUGUAAAUAGCAUGAGAAUAUGGACAUCUCUAGAUAAAAGGUUAUGGCUCUUUUUCUCACAUUAGAUAUUACGUUUGAGGGGAGGAUGCAAAUAUGAAUAAAUGAGCUAUAUUUUUCUUAUAUUAAUAAACCUCAAUUGUUUGAACUGAAUGUAUAAAUUCAGUUAUACAUAUAUGUGUGUAUAUAUAUGUAUAUAUAUAUAUAUACACACAGUUGAAUUUGGGGACAGGACUUCGGUUGGGGAAACUUGUCAAGAUCAUUCUAAACUUUAGUAUUUAGAGGAAUAAACAUGUGAGAAGACUCUUAAAAAAGAAUAUCAGGGCUGCUUGGGCGGCCCAGUCGAUUGAGCGUCUGUCUGACUUUUGAUAUUGGCUCAGGUAGUGAUCUUGGAGUCAGUUGUGGGAUUGAACCCUGCAUCAGGCUCUGUGCUGAGCCUGGAGCCUGCUUGGGAUUCUCUCUCUCCCUCCCACUCUUCCCCCCCCACCCCGUUUCUCUCUUCCAAAAUAAAUAAAACUUAAAAGAAAAUCAACAAAGGGGGAGUUUCAUAAAAUCUAUUAAAACAAAUGACAAAAAAAAUAAAACAGUGUGUUAUUGGCACAGGAAUAGGCAACCAAAUUAGUGGAACAAGGAAUCCAGAAUUAGACCCAGGUGUAUAUGGACAUUUGGUAUAAAAUAAAGAACGUGUUUCAAACCACUGGGAUGAGAUGGGUUAAUCAAUAAAGAAUGUUGAGACAACUGGCUAGUAAAAAGCUGAACUCUUCCCUAAUUUCCUUUUUUCUUCCCCCUCCCAAGUUCCUAUACGAAGAUAAAUCUAGAGGUAGAAAAUAAAAAGAUAAAGUAGUGAAAUAUAAGAAGGGGGAAAUAUUUUUUUCAGUCUUGGUGUGGGAAAGAACUUCCUAAGCAUAAUAACAAAGAUAAAAACCAAGACGGAAAAUGUGGAUACUUUUGAAUAUAUAAAAACUAUGCACUUCUGUAUAUUAAAUCAUUACCAAAAGCAAGAUUAAAAGAUAAAUCAAAGAUAUGUAUGCUAUAUGUGAAAAAGCAUUGAGAUUCCUAAUACAUAAAAAACUCUUGUAGAUUAUUUAGAAAAAGAAAAACCUCCAAAUAGAGAAAUGGGCCCAGGACAUACAGAGGGCACUCACCAAAGAAAAAAUGCAGAUAACCAAAACAUACGAAAGGGUGCCCAGGCUCAACUUCACCUGAAAUCGAAGAGUUCAUAUAAAGCAGCCACGCUUUGCCAGUUGGAUCAGCAGAGGUGAAAAUAAGAUCUCAGGGAUGGUGUAGUUGAAGGGACACUCUGAUGCCUUUUUGGGGAAAGUUUAAUUUGUGCUCACCUUUGAAGGGUUUGGCAGUCUGUAUCAACAUUCAAUUGUGUACACCCAUUGACACAGCAACACAACUCCUGGGAAAAUCCCCUAAAGGAAAUCACCAGACAGCAAUUUGUAUAAAUGUAUCUGUUUCUGGGUGGUUUAUAAUAACAAGAAACUGGGAAUUACCAGUACUUUAUUUCUUAAAUAUAUUACAGUACAUAUAUAUGUGGUAAUAUCAUACUAUCAUAUGUGGCUUAUUUAUUUAUUUUGAGAGAAGAGAGAGAGAGAGAGAGAGAGAGAGAGAGAAUGAAUCCCAAGCAGGCUGCACACUGAUGUGGGGCUUGAACCUUUGAACUGUGAGAUCAUGAUCUGAGCUAAAAUCAAGAGUUGGAUGCUCACCUGACUGAGCCACCCAGGUGCCCCAUCAUACUAGCUUUAAAAAGGAUAGCUUAUGUCAGUUUUUAUUUAUAUCAUAUAUUUAUUGAUAGAUAAGUUCUUCAAGAUAUGUUUAUGAAAGAAACAAUCAGUUGUUAAAGUAUAUCAUGUAUAUAUACAAAUAGAAGAAGAGGUCUAAGAGAAUAUUCUUCAAAAGUUUAAUUAUAGUUGAAAUUGGUUAGUGGAAUUUUGCUUUUUUGUUUGUUCCUUUAUAUAUUAUUAGUAUUUUUUGCACUCACCAUGUAUUAUGUUGGUAAGAGGUAAAAACAAAUGCAUUUCUAUAACACACACACACAAGCCAACAAACUAGCUUCCAGAGUUGUUCAUAUUUAGUAUAAGGAUAUGACUUUAAAUUUUUUUUAUUUUUGAGGGAGGGAGGGAGAGAGAGACAGAGAGACAGAGAGAGGGGGAGAGAGAGAAUCCCAAGCAGGCUCCACAGUGGGGAGCCCGACACAGGGCUCAAUCUCACGAAUCAAACUGUGAGAGCAUGACUUGAGCUGAAAUCAAGAGUUGGAUGCUUAACCAACUAAGCCACCCUGGCACCCCAGGAUAUGACUUUUAUUAUUUAUUUGUUUAUUUUUUAAAAUUGUUUUUAAUGUUCUAUUGAUUUUUGAGAGAGAGAGAGAGAGACAAACAGUGCGAGCUGGGGAGGAGCAGAGAGAGAGGGAGACACAGAAUCCAAGCUGUCAGCACAGAGCUGGAUGCAGGGGGAACUCAUGAACCUUGAGAUCAUGACCUGAGCCGAAGUCAGGUGCUUAACUGACUGAGCCACCCAGGCGCCCCAUGACUUUUAAAAUACACUUGUUGUAUUUGUCUGUUUGAAUAAGUGUAGAGCAUACUUCAGUGACAUGGUGCUUAUUACCUACAAUGACAGGCAGGGAGGUAUUCCCAUUUUGUAUUAUGUCACUAGGGUCUUUUCUACGGUAUUAGCAGGAGUCUGAGGAAUGGUGGUGGGAGCUGUUGACACCUCAGUAGAGUUCUUUUUUUCUACCAUCAUGUUUCCCCUUUUACAGGAAUUUCAGAGAGGACUCCCUUUUUUGAUAUUGAAGACUGAAAAUGUAUAAGAUUCUAGAUGGCAAUAUCAUAAAAUUGCAUUUCUUUUUACUUAGCUAUAUGAACAUUUCAUAUCAUAAAUUAUGGAAAGAUAAUUUAAAAAAUUUAAAUAUAAUUGACAUGUAACAUUGUAUAGUUUAAAGUGUACAACAUAAUGAUUCAAUAUUUGUAUACAUUGCAAAAUGAUUGCCACAAUAAGUCUGGUAAAGAUCUGUUACCAUACAUAGUAACAAAAUAUUUUUCCCCCUAAGGAGAACUUUUAAGAUCUACUCUCUUAGCAACUUUCAAGUAUGCAAUACAGUAUGAUUAGUUAUAGUCACCAUGCUGUAUAUCUCCAUGAUUUAUUUAUUUUAUAACUGGAAGUUUGUAUCCUAUGACCCCCUUCACAUAUUUUGCCUACCCCCUCCCCAUCUUCUACCUCGCAACCACCAAUGUGUUCUCUUUAUCUAUGAGCUUGGUUUUGUUUUGUUUUUGAUUCCACACAUAAGUGAGAUCAAACAGUAUUUGUCUUUCUCUGACUUAUUUCACUUAGCAUCAUGCUUUUAAGGGCCACCCAUGUUGUUGCAAAUGGCAGGUUUUCAUUUUUUUGUGGAUGAAUAAUUUCCCAUUGUGUGUGUCACACACACACACACACACACACACACACACCACAUUUUCUAUAUUCACUCAUACAUCAGUGGACACUUAGGUUGCUUCCAUAUCUUGGCUAUUGUAAGUAAUACUGCAGUGAACAUGGGGUACAUAUAUCUCUUUGAGUUCAAGUUUUUGGUUUGUUUUGUUUUUUUUUUUUUGUUUUUUUUUUUGUUUUUUUUUUGUUUUUUUUGGAUAAAUACCAGAAGUAAAAUCGCUGAAUCAUAUGGUAGUUCUAUUUUUGUUUUUUGUUUUUUUGAGGAACCUACGAAUUGUUUUCCAUAGUGGCUGCACCAGUUUACAUUCUCACCAGCAAUCACAAGGGUUUCCUUUCUCGGCAUCCUCCACAACUCUUGUUAUUUCUUAUCUUUUCAAUAAUAGCCAUUCUGACAGGUGUGAGGUGAUAUCUCAAUGUGGUUUUGAUUUGCAUUUCCCUGAUUAGUGAUUUUGAACAUCUCUUCAAGUGCCUGUUGGCCAUAUGUAGUCUUUUGGAAAAAUACCUCUUUUUUUGAGUUAGAUUCUUUGUUCGUUUGUUUGUUUUUUGAUGAUAAUUUCUUUUGUCGUGUAGAAGCUCUUUACUUUGAUGUAGACCCACUUGUUUAUUUUUGCUUUUGUUGCCUUUGCCUUUGGUGUCAGGUUCAAAACAUCAUUGCCAAGGACCAACGUCAAGGAGCUUACCACUUCUUAUUUUUCCUUCUAGGAUCUGUGUGACUCAGGUCUAACAUUUAAGUGUUUUGAGUUAAUUUUUGGGUAUGAUGCAAGCAGUGGUCUAGUUUCAUUCUUUCACAUGUGCCUGUCCAGGUUUCCCAACACAUUUAUUGAAGAGACUGUCCUUUCCCCGUUGUAUGUGUUUGGCUUCUUUGUUGUAAAUUAAUUGACCAUAUACAUGUAGGUUUAUUUCUGGGCUCUCUGUUCUGUUCCAUUGAUCUUUCUGCCUGUUUUAUACCAAUAUUGUCCUGUUUUAAAUACUAUAGCUCUGUAGUUUGAAAUCAGGGCGUGUGAAACUUCCAGCUUUGGUCUUCUUUCUCAAGAUUGCUUUGGCUAUUCAGGUUUUGGUCGUUAGUUUCAAUUAGGAUACAUUUAGUACAAGUUUCCAGACACUUCAUGGUUUCCUUCAUUUUGCAAUUUCUUUUACACUGAGAAUAUACUUGUAAUCAGAAAAAAAAUUUAAAUCUUUGUGGAAAAGAGAUAACUCAUAUUUUAAAAAUGGAUUAGGCAGAUAUGAUCACAUUCAGAUUAUUCUUAAAAGACAUGCUUAAAUUAAAAGGAUAUAAGGUAUAUUUUAGUUUGAUUAGUUGUGCUGGCCCUGAUUUUUACCAAGGAUAUAUUACUUUCUGUUUCAAAUGUUAAAUAACUGUAUCAUUAUGACAGCCAGAGGACUUUCCAAUUGUAGUUUUAUAGACAUAUUAUUAUUGCCACUGACUUUAAAAGAAAAGAAAGGAAUACAAAGGGCUAAGUGGAUAUGUUAUUCAAUUAGGGUAGAAGCCUGGGGGAGGGGUGGGAUUUUUCUCCGGGAGGUUGCAUAGCUGGUUAUAGUCACAUCACUUGCCAACUUUCUGCUUAACAGGCCGUUCCUGGCAGUUAGUACAGGACAGUUAUGGGUACUUGCUGUGUACUUUCUAAAGUCAUCCUGAAGUAAUACAGGCUACCUUCUCCUUCUCCUCUAGUCUCCCUUCCUGAGCUCCUCCCUGGCUUUCCCUACCCACACAUGCACACAUUCACUUUCUGGUAUAGCCCCUUCACAACAAACCUGGUAUAUCCAUGCUUGAUAUAUUUUAUUGGUUGGCUACAUAACCUAUAUCAGUCCCACCAAAAUGCAACUAUGAUGGAGGGAGAAGAGUACUGGGCUAACCUCAGAGGCAGAAGCCUCUUGAUAUACUCUGGCCUCACUUCCCUGUCUAUAAAAUGGCCACUAUAACAAACUUUUUAUAAGGUUAUGGCUAGGGAGAUGAAAUGUGUAUCUGUUAGGGUUAGAUUUGACUGCUUUUGACCAAAAAAAAAAACAAAAAAACAAAAAAACAAACAAAAAAAAAAACAGUGAUAAUAGUAAAAUAGUAGCUUUUAAUAAAAUAGAACUUUAUUUUCGUAGGAAAUAGAAGUUUUGUUUGUUUCCUGUAUAUGAGUCUAGAGCCAGGCUGCCCAGGACUAGCAUGAUACUUUAUGGUGCAGGACCCAGUCUUUGUUUCCUUUUGCACUGCUGUUCUUAGCAGGUAGCUUCAAUAUCAUAGCCCAGAAUGAGCACUUGAGUUCCAAUCAUUAUAUCCAAAUUCCAGCUAAGAGAAAGGAGGAAGGUGGAAAAAGGGUGUACCCGUUCUCUUUAAGGAUACUUCCACUAAGGAUUGCUCACAUAUUGUACAGAACCACAUCAGGUGGCUGUGUACUCAGUUAAAAGGCAGCUUAUUAUUUAUUAUGUUUAUUACAUUUAUGAUGAAAGAAAGAUGUGGGGGCAAACCGGCAGUCUUUGCCACAGUUCAUGAAAGACUUUUGUGACCUAGGAAAUGCUUCUAGUACGAAAAAUAUUUAUGUAAUAUUGCCAGGAGCAACCUGAUGUACAUUCAUCCAUUCACCAAGUGUUUAUUAAGUACUUACUGGGGGUGUAGCACUAGAACUUGUGCCCAUAUACUUCCUCAUAUAUUUCUUAGUCAAUUUACGUUAUCUCCAAGAAAAAGGGUUGAGGGAUUCACAUAGCUGUGAGUCUCCCCUACUUUGCUGUGCAUGUGGGCAUAGAACAUCACUAAGAUACUAAUCCCUUUCUUUGGAAGGAGGGAAGGGGAAGGGUAACAUUGGAGCAUGUAAUAAAUGACAGCUCUCUAGCUCAUCAGUACAGACUGUGCAUGUUUUUCCCUCCUGCUCACAGAGGUCCUGUCUUUUGUCAUCAGUUCCUCAUGUUGAUUUAUGUCUUGCAUCCUCACUUACUUGGAUAUAUGCCCUUUUCCCUAUUUAAGGCACAUGCGCAGGAUUGACUUUUCAUCUUCUUCCCUCUUCCUUUGAAAUAGGGAACACUGUGUUUGAACAGACAUGCAAUUUACUUGGGAAGCAAAGAUAGAUUAGAUAGAUAGAUAGAUAGAUAGAUAGAUAGAUAGGAAAAUAGAUCGAUCGAUCAAUCAGUGGGUAGGUGGGUGGGUGGUUGGAUGGAUGGAUGGAUGGAUGGAUGGAUGGAUAAGUAUACAUAAGCAAGCAAGCAUAACCUAAUCAUCAGGCAGCAUUGUCAAUUACUGGCUGUUUCUCAGGGGGGGCCUGAAUACUUGCAGGACCCUUUAGGAAAUAGGAUCUACAGUCACAGGCUUAAGAUACUCCAUUUGGAAGGAAUUCAGAGAUGUCUAAUGUCCUUCAUCCUAAUCUUUCAGGAAUUGAUGGUAGUGCGCUUUCUUUUUUUUUAAAUCUCGUUUUAUUAUGAAAACGUUCAAACAGAAAACAACCACAAGCUCAUGACUGAGAUGGAAAAAAAUGUUAACACUUUGCCAUAUUUAAGAAAAAACACAAAAUGAAAUUUUAUAGAUGUCGAGGUUUUCUCCCAUAUAAAUACGUGGUUCUUGGGUCAUUCAUGUCUAAAUACUACCGUAUCUGGGACACUGUCCCCAAUCUUCCAUGUAAAACCUCCCCUCUAACCUUUUCUUGCUAGCAGUUUUCACCACCUGACAUAUAUAGUGUAUUUAUUUGCUUGUCUUCUGUCCAUCUCCUUCCACUAGCAUGUCAGCUCUGUGAGAGCUGGAUGUGGCUUUGUUCCUGAUGAAUUCCUUUCUCCUUCAGUGGGGCUGGCACCAGCUAGGAACCGGUGAACAGAGCUGAAGCCUCUUUUAGGCUUCCUCAUGCAUCACCUCUCUCCCUGCUUCUCUUCUCAGGGGGAACCACUGUCCUGAAGUUUUAUAUAUCUUCCCCAUCCUUGUCUUUAUGCAAUCCAAUUUUAUUUAUACCUUUGUAUCUCUGUGUGAGCAUUGUGUACACAUACUCUAGAACAAUAGAUGGUCGUGUGUACCUUUAGAAAUAUGACAGUGGGGGGCAAAAAAUAUUAGAGGGGUGCUUGGGUGGUUCAGCCACUUAAGCAUCUGACUCUUGAUUUCUGCUCAGGUCUUGAUUUCCCGGUUGUGAGAUGGAGCCCCACGUCAGGCUCUGAGCUGAGUGUGGAGCCUGCUUAAGAGUCUCUCUCUCUUCCUCUCCCUCUGCCUCUCCCUUCUCCACACGCACAUGUGCACUCACGCUCUCUCUAAAAAAAAAUUACAUAUGCAAACUAUAUAUAUAUUCUCUGUAACUUACUUCUUCAAACAUUAUGUGCUUGAGAUUUAUCUAUGUGAAUACAGAAACAUUUACUUCAUAUAUUUCAUAUUCCUACAGUAUUCCUUCUAAAAUUAUAUCCCAGUGGAUCUAUUUUUGGCCAUAGCUUUUUAAUAGCAGCUAUAUGUUACCUUUCUUUUGUGAGGGACUCUCUGAGUUUAACCUGUGGUAACGAUUGUACCAAUUCUAGAAAUGGGUUAGAAAACAGUUAAUGGGGUUUCACAUUUGUGAAACUGUUGGUGGCUCAGUCGGUUGAGCAUCCAACUCUUGAUUUCAGCUCAGGUCAUGAUCCCAGGCUUGUGGGAUCAAGCCCCUUGUUGGGCUCCAUGCUGGGUGUAAAGCCUGCUUAAGAUUCUCUCUCUUUUGGGACACCUGCGUGGCUCAGUGGGUUGAGCGUCUGACUCUUGACCUCAACUCAGAUCAUGAUCUCAGGGUUCUUGGGUUCAAGCCUGGCGUUGGGCUCUGGGCUGGCAGCACAGGGCCUGUUUGGGAUUCUGUCUCUAUCUCUCUCUGCGCCUCCCCUGUUCAUGCUCACUGUCUCUCAAAAUAAAUAAGUAAACUUAAAAAAAAAAAAGAUUCUCUUCCUGCCCCUCCCCUGCUCAUUCUCUCUCUCUCUC